rnacentral:rRNA from 1 species
UAUGACGACGGGUAGACUUGCCUUUAGAGGGCGACCGGCCACACUGGGACUGAGACACGGCCCAGACUCUUACGGGAGGCAGCAGUGGGGAAUAUUGCACAAUGGGGGGGGGCGUGAUGCAGCGACGCCGCGUGAGGGAUGACGGCGUGUGGGUUGUAAACCUCUUUCAGCAGAAAAGAAGCGAAAGUGACGGUACCUGCAGAAGAAGCGCCGGCUAACUAGGUGGAAAGCAGCCGCGGUAAUACGUAGGGCGCAAGCGUUGUCCGGAAUUAUUGGGCGUAAAGAGCUCGUAGGCGGCUUGUCGCGUCGGUUGUGAAAGCCCGGGGCUUAACCCCGGGUCUGCAGUCGAUACGGGCAGGCUAGAGUUCGGUAGGGGAGAUCGGAAUUCCUGGUGUAGCGGUGAAAUGCGCAGAUAUCAGGAGGAACACCGGUGGCGAAGGCGGAUCUCUGGGCCGAUACUGACGCUGAGGAGCGAAAGCGUGGGGAGCGAACAGGAUUAGAUACCCUGGUAGUCCACGCCGUAAACGGUGCCCACUAGCCCUGGGCAACACUUCCCACGUUUCCCGUGCCGCAGCCUUAACGGCAUUAAGGUUCAACCCCCUUGGAGACCCCCCU